rnacentral:lncRNA from 12 species
AUGCAGUCUAGGAUGGCUUGGCACGGAAACCUCUGCCCGAGCAGGGUUGGGUCGGCCCUAGGUAUCCCCUCUGUGCGCCGCAGCCCAGGGCCCCGCAGGGAGGGCAGGGGGAGGCGUGGUCAGCACUGGAACAGAAGCCAUGGUGGGAGGUGGAGCAGAGGACUGGACUGGAAGAGGAACAUGGAGCUGGGCGAGAGCGGGACCUGCUGGGUACAGACACGGGCAGGCGGCAGGAAACAGAUGGACACAGGUCACAUAGUCCUUUCAUUCCACCUGCCUGAGGCCUUGAGGCCAGAGGGGACCGGGGACGCCGCAGCGUGGACGGACUGGGAGGGGCUGCAUGGAGCAGCGACCCGCCAGGGUGCCAGAAAGCAUGAAACUUUGAUGUCUCAACAAGCUCAUCCACAAAGCCGAGGGGGAGAUGUGUCCAGUGCUGCAGCCCAGGGGAUUUGGGCCCGUGGGUCUCUGGAAGUUGAUAUUUUCUGCCAGACCAACUUCUUUGAUGUUGAUAUUCUAGAUGAAAAUAAUAAGAAGGAUAAAAAUAAGAAUAGCAGCUAAUCUUCACUGAACGCCCACCAUGUGCCGGGAACUGUCCUAUAUAUGCCUCGGUUGUCCACCGCCGUGUAACAAACCAUCCCAAGACAUCAUGACUUAAGGAAAGGUCAUCCGGAUCAGGGAUCUGUAAUCUGGGCAGGACUUGGAGGAGUCAACCUGUCUCUGCCCCCCGGUGUUAGCUGGGGCAGGUGGACUCCAGCUGGAGGACCCGCUUCCAAGAUGGUGCACCCGCAGGGCUGGAGAGGCGGGCCUGGCGGUGGGUGCCUCUCCACGCAGGCCUCUCUUUGGGCAGCUCGAGCUUCCACACGGCGUGCUGGGACCAGUGUGGACUAACCACCGAGCAACCACCAACCCUAAGGGGCAAGGGUAGAGGCUCCCAUCGGUCCUGAGGUCCAGGUGGGUGCCUGGCUCCUUGCUGAGGGCUCCAUAUGGUCACCUGGAAAUGUCCUCUGGGCUCUUGGCUCUGCCCUGUUCAUUCUGUCCAUUUGCCUUCCUUUUCAGUCCAAACCAGAUAUGUCCCCACUAGAAACAUCUCACAAAACAUUGUAGGCUUCCUGUCAAUUCUACUGGGGCCGCCCAUGGGUGUGUGGUCACACUCACAAAUCCCGGAGACAGGACCCUCUGCCUCUGGCCCCUGUAAGGCUCAGAGGCACCGAUGCCUUCAAGGGCCUGGAGGCCCCUGUUCAGCAGGACCUUGGUGGGGGGGCUCUGUGAGGCACCCCGAAGCCCGUUGGAGGCCGUGACAGUCCCCGUCUCACCCUGAUUGAGCACAGUCUGAGGGUCAGGAAGAGCGGACGGACGGACAGAGAGCCAGCUGUACUCCUGCCCCAGCCCUUCGUUCACUGCUCCGCCGCCCUGGAGCCGUGCAGUGCGCUCGCCUGUGCUCGGCCCUCCUGCAUUCACCACAGUGGCUGGAAGAGGAGAGUGGACCCUGGCAGCGCUGCCUGGAAGCCUCCCGGACUGGCCCUCUGCGUCCAGCGGGCACUCACUUCCUACCCUGUGC